rnacentral:lncRNA from 1 species
GCUGAAUCUUGAGCCCCACCCCUAUAUUACCUCCUGUUUCUUCCUUCCCAACUGUCUUGUUGGAGAUUUUCUCACCCAUGGUACCAAUCCUACAAACUAGUACUAGUACUAGCUAAAGGAUCUUUUAUUCUUUGGGGAGAAGGGGCUAAGGCUGGGAAAAGGGGAAAAUCAGGGUCUCCCUAAUUCUAAGUUAUCUUGUUGAUUGAAGACUUUUGAAAUAGUCUCUUCAGAAAAACAAAAACAAGAAAUCUCCACAUAAGGGUAGAUAAUAACAGCACUGGUAACAAGUCUCUUCUGGACAAGACCAACUAUCUCUUUGGCUCACAGUAUAACUAGAAGGGAUAUGCAUAGAUUCUGAGUACACACAGCCAACAACACAUCAUACUUCUGAAGCGGUAUUCCUUCUGGACUCCUCUGCCUCUAAUGAUGCUACAUAGUCUUCAGCAUGUAUAAAAUUUAUGUGAUGUUUGGAUAAUGAAGUAAGGAUCACCACCAGUGGGGGCGGAGUCAAGAUGGCGGCUUAGCAAGCAGCAAAAGUUCAGACCUUGUGGAAGACCCUUCCUAAACCGAUACAGAUUGAAUGCUCCUAGGGCACCGAAAUUCAAGCUGAACAACAGGACAGAAGCGGGGAAUCCUCCUUCUGGACUCAAAUCAAAAGGAAUCAUGCUAUGCUAUUCUAUUCUGGAGCAGCUGGGUAGCUCAGUCAAUUGA